CCGCUGUGAAGGUGCUGCAUGGUUGUCGUCAGCUCGUGCCGUGAGGUGUCGGCUUAAGUGCCAUAACGAGCGCAACCCUUAUCUUUAGUUACUAACAGGUCAUGCUGAGGACUCUGGAGAGACUGCCGUCGUAAGAUGUGAGGAAGGUGGGGAUGACGUCAAAUCAGCACGGCCCUUACGUCCGGGGCUACACACGUGUUACAAUGGGGGGUACAGAAGGCAGCUAGCGGGUGACCGUAUGCUAAUCCCAAAAGCCUCUCUCAGUUCGGAUCGAAGUCUGCAACCCGACUUCGUGAAGCUGGAUUCGCUAGUAAUCGCGCAUCAGCCACGGCGCGGUGAAUACGUUCCCGGGCCUUGUACACACCGCCCGUCAAGCCAUGGGAGCCGGGGGUACCUGAAGUACGUAACCGCAAGGAUCGUCCUAGGGUAAAACUGGUGACUGGGGCUAAGUCGUAACAAGGUAGCCGUACCGGAAGGUGCGGCUGGAACACCUCCUUU
rnacentral:rRNA from 1 species